rnacentral:rRNA from 1 species
UACGAAGGGUGCAAGCGUUAAUCGGAAUUACUGGGCGUAAAGGGUGCGUAGGCGGUUCGUUAAGCCUGUCGUGAAAUCCCCGGGCUCAACCUGGGAAUGGCGAUGGAUACUGGCGAGCUAGAGUGUGUCAGAGGAUGGUGGAAUUCCCGGUGUAGCAGUGAAAUGCGUAGAGAUCGGGAGGAACACCAGUGGCGAAGGCGGCCUUCUGGACCAGUACUGACGCUCAUGCACGAAAGCGUGGGGAGCAAACAGG